UGCCAGCCGCCGCGGUAAUACGGAGAGUGCGAGCGUUGUUCGGAAUCAUUGGGCGUAAAGCGCGUGCAGGCGGGUCGUUAAGUCUGGUGUGAAAGCCCCCGGCUCAACCGGGGAAGUGCACUGGAUACUGGCGACCUUGAGUACGGGAGAGGGAAGUGGAAUUCCGAGUGUAGAGGUGAAAUUCGUAGAUAUUCGGAGGAACACCAGUGGCGAAGGCGACUUCCUGGACCGAUACUGACGCUGAGACGCGAAAGCGUGGGGAGCAAACAGGAUUAGAUA
rnacentral:rRNA from 1 species